CCGGGAGUUUGGCUUGCGUUGCUAUGGUCACCAGAUACUUUGGAGCCUUCUAGAAAGCCCUGGACUCAAAUGCGGGGGUUGGGGGAGCUGGAGAAUAUUGGCAGUUGAAAAAGGACUGGGUUCGCUUCUCUCCUUUCCUAAUGACUGCCCAUCUUGUAGAGCAGUGGAACCGCAAAUGCCUUUAGUCACCUCUAGCAACCCUACAUUAGGCAUUUGAGACUCCCGAGGCACUUCGCAUAACAGCCUGUCUCCAUGGUUAUCACCACAUAUCCGCAAAGGCCGGCUUUAUGGGGAUACAAACUUCAUUUGCACUUGUGGUGUUACGGUUUGGAUCUGAAAUGUCCUCUAAAAGCUCUUGUAUUGAAGGAUUUGCACACAUCAGUGUUCAUAGCGAUGGAAAGCUGACUAAUACAGAAGGUCUCCACGCUUGAUUUAACACUCUUCAGUUGAAGCCUUGAAAUUCUUAGUGUGGAAGAGGAACAGACAUCAGGGAUAAACACACAGGAAAGACAUGCCAAGGACACUGUGAGAAGGCAUUCGCUAUCUACAAACCAAAGAAGGAGGCUUCAGGAGAACCCAAACUACUGACACUCUACCUCAGACUUCCAGCUUCUAGAACUGUAAGAAAAUAAAUUUCUUUUGUUCUCUCUCUUUUUUUUUUUGGUACUGGGGAUCAAACUUGGGUCCUUGCGCUUGCACAGCAGGCAGCACAACCACUGAGCUAAAUCCCCAGCCCUUCUCUCUCUCUUUUUAAGAUAGUCUCACAAUGUAUUUCAGGCUCGUCUUGAACUCACUAUGUAACCCAGGCUGGCCUUGAACUUGAAGCAAUCCUCCUGCCUCAGCCUCCUAAGUGCUGGGAUUACAGGCAUGUGCCAUGAUGCCCACUGAGAAAACAAAUUUCUGUUAAAAUUUGCUUAAACCACCGAAUCUGUGGUGUUUUCUUACAGUACUCUGAGCAGACCAAUACAGUUUCUGUGUCACGCAUUCAUCUGGUUUUAUGCUAAUGUCACAAGUACUCUUUCUCCGUGUGCUGUGCUGCCCAGAAUUGUAAAUGCUGGAGGCUCUGCCUUCUGCUCUGUCCUCUUUCUUCUCUAUGAGGGGUUGGAGAUUUAGCUCAGUGGUUCUGGAGCCUGCCUCACAAGCACAAGGUCCGGAGUUCGAUCCCUGGUACCAAAAAAAACAAACAAACCAAAAAAAACAAAACAAAAUAAACUUCUCUUUCUUCUCUAUGUAUCCCUUCUCCUCAGAUAAUGUCAAUGUUGUGGCUUGUGUCUAGAUGUUCCCUCAAAGCCUCAUGCAGUCUUUUUCAGAGGUUGCUGAAUCUGGAAUGUGUGAUGCUGGGAUUGAGGGUGUGCGGUUACUAAACCACUACACGAGUGACUGGUUGGGCACCGCCCUAAUCCCAGUGGUCUGGGUAAGAUAAAAAGGGCAGGAAGAUGCUGUUAAGGUUCCCUUGUUGCCUUUGCAACCAUGUGGACACCAUGAACUAUUCCUUCUCUGUGAUGCCCCUCUGGCAUGUGCCACCCUGCCUUGGAGCCAGCUGAUUAUGGACUGAAACCUCUACCAACUGUGAGCUAAAUAAACUCUUUCCCUUUAACUUUGGGUGUCAGGUAUUUUAUCUCAGCAAUGAGAGAAAAGUAACUGACACAGUCAUGCUAUUUCCCAUCCAGACCUCCCAUAAGCUCCACCCUCAUCUAUCUGCCUACCUCCUGGACAAUGCCACUUGGAUGCCUAACAGGUAUCUUAAAACCCACAUGGGGCCAGGGAUUUAGCUCAGUGGUUUCACUGCCUGCUGCGCAAGCACAAGGACCCGAGCUCGAUCCCUGGUACCAAAAAAAGAAAAACCCAGAAAAACCCCACAUGGCUAGAAGAAAAAACCCCCCACAUUGGGAAGAUUAAAAGAUCUGGAGAUGGGUGGUGGUGAUGGCUGUAUAACACAUGAAUGUACCUAAUGCCACUGAACUAUACAUUCAAAAUGACUAAAAAGAGCCAGACAUGGUAGUAUACACCUGGAAUCCCAGCAUCCUGGGAGGCUGGGCAGGAGAAUGCAAGACAUGGACCACCAUGCCUGGCUAAGUCAGUAUCAUCUCUUGCUUGGAGAACUACUUUUAUAGUUUCCUAACUGGUCUCCCUACCUCCUUUCUUUUACCCUCCACCAAGCAGCCGGCCUUCUAAAGCAGUGAUGGAAACCUUUUAGAGCUUUCAAUGAUUACAAACAGCUGGCUGUGGCACGUGUGCCAUAGGUUCACCACUACUGUUCCAAAGUAUAACCUGGAUCUCAUUACUCCCUUGCUUAAAAUCAGCCUUCAGUGGAUUGCCACUGCAUUCAGGAUAAAUCCCAACCCAGCUGUGGCUCCCAAGGAGCAAGGCCAUCAAGGUCCUGCCUGCCUCUCCAGCCUUGUCUCGUCCCCCUCUCCCCUUUACUCUUUGCUGCCUUCCUUCACUUCCUCAAAUCCCUGUUCUUAUCCCUAGGCCUUUAUCAGCUAACUCCUUCCCAUCCAUCAGGUCCCAACCCAAAUGCCUCUUCCUCUUUGAGGCUGCUACUGAAAUUGAUACACAGAUUAAGCCUCCAUCUCCAUGAUUUUUGCUAAGUGCCCUCUGCCUGUGUGUGUGUGUGUGUGUGUGUGUGUGUGUGUGUGUGUGUGUAUGCACGCUACAGGGGAUU